rnacentral:rRNA from 1 species
AACGAACGCUGGCGGCAUGCCUAACACAUGCAAGUCGAACGAGACCUUCGGGUCUAGUGGCGCACGGGGGCGUAACGCGUGGGAACCUGCCCUUAGGUUCGGAAUAACUCCCCGAAAGGGGUGCUAAUACCGGAUAAUGUCUUCUGACCAAAGAUUUAUCGCCUUUGGAUGGGCCCUCGUUGGAUUAGCUGGUUGGUAGGGUAAAAGCCUACCAAGGCGACGAUCCAUAGCUGGUCUGAGAGGAUGAUCAGCCACACUGGGACUGCGACACGGCCCAGACUCCUACGGGAGGCAGCAGUGGGGGAUAUUGGACAAUGGGCGAAGGCCUGAUCCAGCAAUGACGCGUGAGUGAUGAAGGCCUUAGGGUUGUAAAGCUCUUUUACCCGGGAUGAUAAUGACAGUACCGGGAGAAUAAGCUCCGGCUAACUACGUG